AGAGUUUGAUCAUGGCUCAGGAUGAACGCUAGCUACAGGCUUAACACAUGCAAGUCGAGGGGAAACGACAUCGAAAGCUUGCUUUUGAUGGGUGUCGACCGGCGCACGGGUGAGUAACGCGUAUCCAACCUGCCCACCACUUGGGGAUAACCUUGCGAAAGUAAGACUAAUACCCAAUGACGUCUCUAGAAGACAUCUGAAAGAGAUUAAAGAUUUAUCGGUGAUGGAUGGGGAUGCGUCUGAUUAGCUUGUUGGCGGGGUAACGGCCCACCAAGGCGACGAUCAGUAGGGGUUCUGAGAGGAAGGUCCCCCACAUUGGAACUGAGACACGGUCCAAACUCCUACGGGAGGCAGCAGUGAGGAAUAUUGGUCAAUGGGCGAGAGCCUGAACCAGCCAAGUAGCGUGCAGGAAGACGGCCCUAUGGGUUGUAAACUGCUUUUAUAAGGGAAUAAAGUGAGUCUCGUGAGACUUUUUGCAUGUACCUUAUGAAUAAGGACCGGCUAAUUCCGUGCCAGCAGCCGCGGUAAUACGGAAGGUCCGGGCGUUAUCCGGAUUUAUUGGGUUUAAAGGGAGCGUAGGCCGGAGAUUAAGCGUGUUGUGAAAUGUAGACGCUCAACGUCUGCACUGCAGCGCGAACUGGUUUCCUUGAGUACGCACAAAGUGGGCGGAAUUCGUGGUGUAGCGGUGAAAUGCUUAGAUAUCACGAAGAACUCCGAUUGCGAAGGCAGCUCACUGGAGCGCAACUGACGCUGAAGCUCGAAAGUGCGGGUAUCGAACAGGAUUAGAUACCCUGGUAGUCCGCACGGUAAACGAUGGAUGCCCGCUGUUGGUCUGAACAGGUCAGCGGCCAAGCGAAAGCAUUAAGCAUCCCACCUGGGGAGUACGCCGGCAACGGUGAAACUCAAAGGAAUUGACGGGGGCCCGCACAAGCGGAGGAACAUGUGGUUUAAUUCGAUGAUACGCGAGGAACCUUACCCGGGCUUGAAUUGCAGAGGAAGGAUUUGGAGACAAUGACGCCCUUCGGGGCCUCUGUGAAGGUGCUGCAUGGUUGUCGUCAGCUCGUGUCGUGAGAUGUUGGGUUAAGUCCCGCAACGAGCGCAACCCUUACUGUCAGUUACUACGCAAGAGGACUCUGGCAGGACUGCCGUUGACAAAACGGAGGAAGGUGGGGAUGACGUCAAAUCAUCAUGCCCUUUAUGACUUGGGCUACACACGUACUACAAUGGCGUUAAACAAAGAGAAGCAAGACCGCGAGGUGGAGCAAAACUCAGAAACAACGUCCCAGUUCGGACUGCAGGCUGCAACUCGCCUGCACGAAGUCGGAAUUGCUAGUAAUCGUGGAUCAGCAUGCCACGGUGAAUACGUUCCCGGGCCUUGCACUCACCGCCCGU
rnacentral:rRNA from 1 species